GAAACCUUUUAUUGAAGCUUCGGCAGAUUUAGCUGGUUUCUAGUGGCGGACGGGUGAGUAACGCGUGGGUAACCUGCCUUAUACAGGGGGAUAACAGUCAGAAAUGACUGCUAAUACCGCAUAAGCGCACAGGGCCGCAUGGUCCGGUGUGAAAAACUCCGGUGGUAUAAGAUGGACCCGCGUUGGAUUAGCUGGUUGGUGGGGUAACGGCCCACCAAGGCGACGAUCCAUAGCCGGCCUGAGAGGGUGAACGGCCACAUUGGGACUGAGACACGGCCCAGACUCCUACGGGAGGCAGCAGUGGGGAAUAUUGCACAAUGGGGGAAACCCUGAUGCAGCGACGCCGCGUGAAGGAAGAAGUAUCUCGGUAUGUAAACUUCUAUCAGCAGGGAAGAUAGUGACGGUACCUGACUAAGAAGCCCCGGCUAACUACGUGCCAGCAGCCGCGGUAAUACGUAGGGGGCAAGCGUUAUCCGGAUUUACUGGGUGUAAAGGGAGCGUAGACGGUGUGGCAAGUCUGAUGUGAAAGGCAUGGGCUCAACCUGUGGACUGCAUUGGAAACUGUUAUACUUGAGUGCCGGAGGGGUAAGCGGAAUUCCUAGUGUAGCGGUGAAAUGCGUAGAUAUUAGGAGGAACACCAGUGGCGAAGGCG
rnacentral:rRNA from 1 species